ACUGAAUCAAAAAGAGCCUGUUAUUUUUAGACUGGGACAAAAUCUGUCAGCCUAGCUUUACUUUGUGCUUGACAAUACCCAAAAUUUAUAUAGAACUUUCAAAGCUCAACAUUAAGAAAACAAGAAACUCAAAUAAAAACUGGACAAAAGACCUGAACAGACAAUGCACCAGAGAAAAUAAACAGAAGGCAAAUAAGUACUUGAAAGGCUGUUCUACAUCAUUAGCUAUUAAGGAACUGAAAAUUAAACCAUGAUGACAGACCCACUACAUACCUUUCAAAAUGGCAAAAUAAAAAGCUGGCCAGGCACAGUGGCUCACCCCAACACUCUGGGAGGCUGAGGUGAGAACAUUGCUUGAGUUCAGGAGUUUGAGACCAGCCUAAGCAAAGUGAGACCCCAUCUCUACUAAAAAGAAAAUCUAGCCAGGCAUGGUGGCAGGUACCUAUAAUCUUAGCUAGUAGGGAGGCUGAGGCAGGAGAAUUGCUUGAACCCAGGAGUUUGAGGUUGCUAUGAGCAAUGAUUGUGCCUUGGAGCUAUGAUUGUGUACACUCCAGCCUUGGUCUCCAGUGCAUGCAACAGAGUGAGAUUCUGUCUCAAAAAAAUUAAAUAAAUAAAAAAAUAAUAGUUCUGGAGAAGAUUCAGAGCAAUUGGAACUUUUACAUUGCUGGUGGGAAGGCAAAAUCAUAUAGGCAUUCUAGAAAAAACAGCUUGGCAGUUUUUGAUAAGUUAAAUAUACACUUACCAUGUGACCCAAUAAUUCUUUUCCUGUGUAUUUAACUGUAGCAAGAUGUUAAGAUUUAACCUUAAUCAAGAUGUCCUUAAGCAGAUGAAUGAACAAAUUAUGGCGUAUUCAUACAGCAAAAUACUACUUAGUACCAAAAAAGAACAAGUUACUGACUCAUGCAACAUGGGUAGAUUUUAUUUUGCUGAGAGAAGAAACUAUUCUCAAAAGUUUACACACUAGAUGAUUCUGUUUAUCUGACGAUCUCAAAACAAGAGAUUAAAUCAGUGGGUACCAGCAGUUAUUGUGUGGAGAGUUUGACUUUGAAGGCCAUGAGGCAGUUUUGUGGAUGAUGGAAUUCUUCUGUAUCCUGACUGUGGUGACGGUUGUCUGAAUCUAUACAGAGAACCCAAAACCAAUUUUACUGUUGUGUGUUUAUACCAAAAGGGGCAAAAAUGUUGUAUGUUAAUUUUAAACAUAAAAUGUAUAAAGAGAAGGAAGGAGAAAGUGAAGGGAGGACUGUUAUAGAAGACAUGAGACAAUACUACCAAAUGCAAUUUGUGGAUCUUGUUUAGAUCCUGAUUUGAACAAGCUAAUUUCAAAAGGCAUUUUUUGUUACAAUCAAGGGAAAUUUAAUGUGAAUUUGGAAUUAUAUGUUAAAUUUAAGUUUUCAAAAUGUGGCUAUGUAAAAAAAAAAUCAUCAGUGACAUACAGAUUCUGAGAUAUAUUUGUUAUUUUUAGUAUGUUUGAAGUUUUCUGUAAUUUUUUCUUGAAAGUGGGAUUUUAUAGCCGGGCGUUGUGGCGGGCAUCUGUAGUCCCAGCUACUGGGGAGGCUGAGCUUAAGAGAAUCACUUAAGCCCAGGAGUUGAAGGUUGCUGUGAGCUGUGAUGCCACAGCACUCUACCCAGAACAGCAUUCUACCCAGGGUGACAGCUUGAGGCUCUGUUUCAAAUAAAAAAAAAAGAAAGAAAGUGGGAUUUUAAAAAAUAGAGUAGAAUUUCUUUUCAAUAUUUAUUUUAAACCAGUAGACACAGGCCUACAGUUAGUCUCCUUCCCAAUGUCAAAUCUUUCCAAUCAAUCCAAGUAAAUAAAUGCUAUGUGUGCCAAAAUUAAUACUGACUUGAAAAAAAACUCCAAGAAAUCUUACACUUUGAGCAAUAAACUACUAAAAUUACUAGAUUAGUAAAGAUUUGCAGAGUUAUAUUUUAAAAUAGCAAAUCAAAACAAUUUUCAGUGAUUCCAUCGAAGAAAUAAAGGGCAAGAGUAAUUUUAAAGCAAUAAUUAUGAUCCUGAAAAUCUCAGCCAAAAGACAAGAUUACUCAGGCUUUUAAAUUCUCAUUAAUAUUUACAUAGUGGUGUUUUCUCACUGUGUUGGUCCAGCUUGUUCUUUUGAGCAUUAUUAUUAUUAAUCAUUUCUUAAGCCUCAGCAUUGCAUGAGAUACAGAUGAUAAGUUUUCUCCCUAGGGGACAACAAUCAAAACCACUAAAGCAAAAUAAAGAUUAACUGUGUAAGAAAUGAAAACCGAAUGAAAGGUUAAGAAGCACACUCUGAAUUUUUUGCUUUCAGCUUUAAGCCCAUGAUGUAAUACGUGUUUCUAUUAGGGGGUAUAAAACUGUUUAUAUUGGGAGACGCCUGUGGCUCAAAGGAGUAGGGCGCUGGCCCCAUACGCCGGAGGUGGCAGGUUCAAACCCAGCCCGGCCAAAAACUGUAAAAAAAAAAAACAAAACCCAAACAAAACUGUUUAUAUUAGGGGCAUAAAACAAGCCUAAAGUUGGUAAGGCAAAGAAAACCUUCAGCUUUGAAGACACAGAAUACAUCCCAGAGAUCACUGCAAAAGAAUAUCCUACCUUAGAAAUCAUUCCACUUUCUGCUAUAUAAAAACUACUAGAAUCUAUUUCUAGCUGUAAAGGACUGUAAUCACUUUGUGGGAGCAGGGGCAACGUAGAGAGAGAGGGAGGAGAGAGAGAUAUUAAAGUCUGCCGAGUAGACUUUUUUGUUUCUUUUCUUUUGGUAAUACCAUCCUCUGCUUCAGGAUGCUUCUCCCAGUCCAUGUAUUCCUGAUGGGAAUGUCAAUCAUAGAGCAUUUCUCCUCUACCUUACAAUGACUUUGUGCUAAAGGAUGCAGGCCUGAAGCAGCUGAAGGUCAAUUUUACAGGACUCAUAAUGAACUUCUUUGACUGUGUAGGCCACUUUGCAAAGAAAAAUAGAAAUUAAUGAGUAUAGCAUAAACGCUGACACUUCUAAGCCCUAAAAUCAGGCCCUUGAGGCCCUUCUUGUUAUAAUUCUUUAUACUGUAUGAGCUACUCCACAAGCCUUUUAAACCAAUACAUCUAAGUUUUUGCUUAGGAUGGUUGGAAUUGGGUUUCUUUUGUCAUUUGCACCUUAAAAAAUCCUGAGAAGUAAAAACAACUUGCCCAGAGUCAUCAUUCAAACCCAGGUCUGCCCACCUCUACACAGUAGGCUUUUCCUACCUACUAUUAACUAUUAACUUUCCAUGUUAAUUUACUGUUUAUCUUCCAGCUGCUUCAUUCCUGAAAUCUAGUUUCCUUCAGGAUUGGGAAUGGAAAGGAAAGGGGCUGUGCAGGGAAAAUGGGGGUUGUAGGUAUCACUUUCUGAUAGUAGAAAGGAAAUGAGAGCCACAAAUACAAUAACAUUUAGCAAGAGUUAGUAGCAACUUGACCCAUUUUGUAUAGUUAUUUAAUGUAUAUUUGAAAGAACCUAAGCUGGCAACCAUACAAUCUUCUGCCCAAGCACAAAUCAAAGCUGUGUAAUUCUAGGAAAGGAUGAUAUGAAAAUACUUUCUCUUUGCUCUGCUCUAUCCAGUUCUAAUGAAUGUAUUUUAAAAAUGUUUAAUACAGCUUGGCGCCUGUGGCUUAAGCGGCUAAGGCGCCAGCCACAUACACCUGAGCUAGCUGGUUCGAAUCCAGCCCAGGCCGUCAAACAAUGACGGCUGCAAAAAAAAAAAAAAAAUAGCGGGGCGUUGUGGCAGGUGCCUGUAGUCCCAGCUACUUGGCAGGCACAGGCAGAAUUGCUUGAGCCCAGGAGUUGGAGGUUGCUGUGAGCUGUGACCCCACGGCACUCUACCCAGGGUGACAGCUUGAGGCUCUGUCUCAAAAAAAAAAAAGUUUAAUACUAGCAAUACCAAAUGAAAUGUUUUCUGUGUUCAGCAAGAGUACAUCUAUUUCCAUUUUAAAGGUACUUUAUUUACUGUGUCACUGCUAUAUGCAAAGAAAAAGAGGCAAUGAAAUAAUGCUAGUUACAAUUUAAAUUAGUGGGUUUUUAAUAAUUACUUUUAAGUCUUUUUUUAUUAUUAUUAUUUUUUUAAGAGACAGAGUUUUGCUUUGUCGCCCUGGGUAGAGUGGUGUCACAGCUCACAGCCACCUCCAACUCCUGGGCUUAGGCGAUUCUCUUGCCUCAGCCUCCCGAGUAGCUGGGACUAUAGGCGCUCGCCACAACACAUGGCUAUUUUUUUUUUUUUUUGCAGUUUUGGCCCGGGGCCUGGUUUGAACCCACCACCCUCAGUAUAUGGGGUCAGCGCCCUACUCAUGGAGCCACAGGCACUGCCCUACUUUUAAGUCUUAAAUGUCAUUUCUUCAGUUGCCAAUUUUGAAUGCUUACUAAUUGCACUUACGAUUUGCAGUUUUUCGCCCAGGCUGGGUUUGAACCCACCGCCUCUGGUAUAUGGGGCCAGCGCCCUACUCCUUUGAGCCACAGGUGCCGCCUUGCAAUUAUGAUUUGAACUUAUCUUGUUUACUCAUUUACUUUUUUGUUGUUGUUGUUGAGACAGGGUCCCACCCUAUGCCUCUGAGCAGAGUGCAGUGGGCGUGGUAGCUCACCACAACCUCAGACUUGGGCUGCGGGCACCCCGCUGCCUCAGCCUCCGGAAGCCGUUGGGAUUACAGCUGCUCUCCGCCGCGCCCGGCUGGGUUUUUCCAUUUUUUUCAUGAGUGGGGGUCUCACUGUCGCUCAAGCGAGUCUCGAACUCCUGAGCUCAAGCGAUUCUCCCUCCUCAGCCU